rnacentral:rRNA from 1 species
AUACGAAGGGGGCUAGCGUUGCUCGGAAUGACUGGGCGUAAAGGGCGUGUAGGCGGUUUACACAGUCAGAUGUGAAAUCCCCGGGCUUAACCUGGGAGCUGCAUUUGAUACGUGUAGACUAGAGUGUGAGAGAGGGUUGUGGAAUUCCCAGUGUAGAGGUGAAAUUCGUUUUUUAGAUAUUGGGAAGAACACCGGUGGCGAAGGCGGCAACCUGGCUCAUGACUGACGCUGAGGCGCGAAAGCGUGGGGAGC